UGACGUCAUGGGCAGAUCUCCCAGCUGUCUGGGGACACUGACGCAGCCUCGGUGACCUCAGAGCUUCCAAUCUCAUAAGCAGAGGGACAGGCUGCCACCUGCCUGCCUCUGCAUCUUCAACAUCUUCCAACAUCUCAUGGGCAUGAGGACAUCUGCAACACCUGCCGCUGACGGCAAGCCAGCUUUCCUUUAGGCCCACCAGAAACAAGGAUGUAUGAAAAGAUUGCAUGCUGCAGGCCAGAGUCACACUUCCCGCAGCCAUAAGAGUAAAGAUACUUGCAGCUGUUUGCACCAUAUUUUGCUGGCCUGCUUGAGUCAGACCUCACUUCAGAAAUGUUAGCUCGCCUUGGUUUUCAAAGUGAUAAAGAAAGGCUGGCCACAGCCUGCCAGAAUCUGUAUGACUUAGUGCACAUCUAUGUCUCUUCAACCAACACGAUAUUACAACUCCUCAAUAUGCAUCUUGGCACCAGUUUCCCCACCUUGGCAGUGAAAGAAAACUUCAGCAUUAGAGAGAAUCUGCAACUCCUUGUUAAUGCUU